rnacentral:rRNA from 1 species
CUACCCAUUAAGUUUAAGCAUAUCAAUAAGCGGAGGAAAAG